rnacentral:piRNA from 1 species
UGCCAAGAGCCGUGAAUCCCAACUCUAAA